AACAACAUGAUUUCUAAACAUGUUAGAUCAUUAUUAUCUCCCUCUGAAACAUUCUUAAUAUGCAUUUAUAGGGUUAAGUCUAGAGUAAUAAAUGAUAAUCAGAUUAUUUCACAAGGCUGAGAAAAGGCUGAAUUAUGUAAAUAGGUACAGGUUUAUGCAUAUGGAUCAUAUUUUUGUUUGCAUUUUUAAAAAUUUUAGUUUGCAUUUUUAAAACUUCAAAGCUUGUUAUUUAUAUUCAUUUCUUUACUUCUGCCAUUAGCAAAAUGUCACCCUCCCCCUUGUUUAGUUCUGAAGGGUCUUGAAGUGGUGAAUGACAAGCUACUGAAUGCAUCCUCAGGCUCCCUGUGAUGUGUUUGUAAUAGAUGUAAAAUCAUAAAGUAUUAUG
rnacentral:lncRNA from 1 species